CCUACGGGCGGCAGCAGUGGGGGAUAUUGCACAAUGGGGGAAACCCUGAUGCAGCGACGCCGCGUGGGUGAAGAAGUAUUUCGGUAUGUAAAGCCCUAUCAGCAGGGAAGAAAGAAGACGGUACCUGACUAAGAAGCCCCGGCUAACUACGUGCCAGCAGCCGCGGUAAUACGUAGGGGGCGAGCGUUAUCCGGAUUCACUGGGUGUAAAGGGAGCGUAGACGGCCGUGCAAGCCAGGAGUGAAAGCCCGGGGCCCAACCCCGGGACUGCUCUUGGAACUGUGCGGCUAGAGUGCGGGAGGGGCAGGCGGAAUUCCUGGUGUAGCGGUGAAAUGCGUAGAUAUCAGGAGGAACACCAGUGGCGAAGGCGGCUUUCUGGACUGUAACUGACACUGAGGUACGAAAGCGUGGGGAGCAAACAGGAUUAGAUACCCGUGUAGUC
rnacentral:rRNA from 1 species